rnacentral:rRNA from 1 species
UACGUAGGGGGCAAGCGUUGUCCGGAUUUAUUGGGCGUAAAGAGCGUGUAGGCGGCUAGAUAGGUCCGUUGUGAAAACUCGAGGCUCAACCUCGAGACGUCGAGGGAAACCAUCUGGCUAGAGUCCGGAAGAGGAGAGUGGAAUUCCUGGUGUAGCAGUGAAAUGCGCAGAUAUCAGGAGGAAUACCGAUGGCGAAGGCAGGUCUCUGGGCUGACACUGACGCUCAUGCACGAAAGCGUGGGGAGCAAACAGG